CUCAAUUGUUGUUCCCAAACUAUAUAUUUAUAUUUUAUCCUACCUAAACAACUAAUAUAUUUUUGCUUAAAAACUAUACUACCGACGAACCAAAAACUUUACCUUUGCCUUAUCUCAAAUCUCAAAUUCACUUUCCCAAAUCCAGAAACCCUAAUCAAACUUAAUUGCUCUUCAUUCUCGUUUUGAAGACAAUGAAGAACUUGUUUCUUUCUUUGUCUCAAAGCUUAAAACCCAUUUAUCUUCUUCUUCUUUUUUUCUUCUGGUUCUCGCUUUGAGAUGGCUACAAGUAGAUUAUGUGGACAUGAGAUUUGAAAACAAGAAAAUGCAUAGCAAUCAUCUUCUGCUCAAAGUUGACAUCUUUUUCUGUGAUCUCUGAGAAUCAAGCAUGGUGGAGCAGCAGAAGAAGAGGUUUGCUCUGUUUCUCACCAAGUGCGACUCCAAGUUCGUGAAGAAGGUUAAUGGUGGCUACUUCAAUAUCUUCGUCUCCACUUGCGGCAAAGACGGCGAGCAAUGGGAUCUCUUCCGAGUGGUAGACGACUUUUCCUGAUGAGAGUUCAAAAACAAAAUUCAAGAGAGGAUCGAUAUGUGAUGAUAAGACCAGAGCUCGUAGUGAAAUCAAUCGUGGAUGAGUUCAAUCGUGGAUGAGUUUUAUUGUGGAUGAGUUCAAUCGUGGAUGAGUUCGGGAUUCGCCGUGGCUGAGCUUGGGAUCCGUCGUGGAUGAGGUCAAUCGUGAAUGUUCCAAUUUGAUGAAAAAGAGUAUUUUGUUGAGACAAUUCCUGCCAUAGAUUUGUACCUCCAUCAUUUGUUUGGUUUUAAGGGUAUGCGGCUGCUCUUGAUAUGACUGCUAGGGAACUCCAAACUAUUGCCAAGGUAACAAUCUGAUUUUUAGUUCAUGUCAAUCUCACUUGUUAGAUGUUUCUUGUACUCUUUUUUGCUUUGUAUUUAAUGAAUAUUGAUGAUAUAACUCUUUCUUUAAUGGAAUAUAUUUGAUUAACCUAGUUUACCCA